AUACGGAGGGGACUAGCGUUGUUCGGAAUUACUGGGCGUAAAGAGUACGUAGGCGGUCUAUCAAGUUGGGUGUGAAAGCCCGGGGCUCAACCCCGGAACUGCACUCAAAACUGAUAAACUAGAGAUCGGAAGAGGUAAGUGGAAUUCCCAGUGUAGAGGUGAAAUUCGUAGAUAUUGGGAAGAACACCAGUGGCGAAGGCGGCUUACUGGUCCGAGACUGACGCUGAGGUACGAAAGCGUGGGGAGCAAACAGGAUUAGAAACCCUAGUAGUCC
rnacentral:rRNA from 1 species